GAGCCCGAGUCUAGUGUGAUUGGUGAUUUACUGUUAUUUGGCCUGUUUACAGCUUUAAAUGCAAAAUGAGGUUUGAUGUGUUUAUUUUACAGAUUUGUGCGCAUUUACUACGUUUUUAUUAAUCAUGGGUUGAAUGACUGAAUAACUGAUACUGUAUAUUGUAUGUUCGGCAUAAAUUACUGUUUUGCUUGUUUGUAUGUAAAUUGAUGAUGCUGACUGAGGAAAAGGAAAAUGAAAGAUUGUGUAGACUGAUAAUUGUAUUAUGGGGGUCAGCCUGACUAGAUAUCCUGGGAGAUGGUGGACG
rnacentral:lncRNA from 1 species